rnacentral:rRNA from 1 species
GACGAACGCUGGCGGCGUGCUUAACACAUGCAGGUCGAACGGAGCGAAUGAAAGCUUGCUUUUAUAAGCUUAGUGGCAAACGGGUGAGUAACACGUAGGCAACCUGCCGACAGGAUGGGGACAACAUUCCGGAAGGAAUGCUAAUACCGAAUGAAGUCAGAGGAGGGCAUCCUCUUCUGAUGAAAGAUGGCCUCUAUAUAUAAGCUAUCACCUGUCGAUGGGCCUGCGUCUGAUUAGCUGGUAGGUGAGGUAACGGCUCACCUAGGCGACGAUCAGUAGCCGGUCUGAGAGGAUGAACGGCCACAUUGGGACUGAGACACGGCCCAGACUCCUACGGGAGGCAGCAGUGGGGAAUCUUCCGCAAUGGGCGCAAGCCUGACGGAGCAACGCCGCGUGAGUGAAGAAGGUCUUCGGAUCGUAAAGCUCUGUUGAUGGGGACGAACGUGCCUAAUGCGAAUAGUUUUAGGUAAUGACG